AUUAAAGGUCGAGCGCAAGAAUAAGAGCUCGUCAAGGAGUCACUAAUCUGUAGCAAAGCUUUGCUAUCAGGUUGAGCAGCUGCCGAUGGUGAUGAAGUGACGAGCGGGAUUCUUUUGUCUUAUUAUGUAUUAAUGAACUCUAGGGUUACAUGUCUUCAUACAUGUAAUCAGAACCUUAUUCCGCUGCGUACUCAGAAGUUUUAUGUUAUUUUGGCUAAGUCAGAGUUAUCUGAACUUACUAGUUAUUUGAGUCUAUACGACUAAAACUCCGUUAUAUUAUAAUAAAUAUCCAUGUUGUUAACAA